rnacentral:rRNA from 1 species
CCCCUAGAUGUUCUGGGCCGCACGCGCGCUACACUGAACAGUUCAACAAGUCUUAACCUUGGCCGAUAGGUCUGGGUAAUCUUUGAACGCUGUUCGUGAUUGGGAUAGACCUUUGCAAUUAUGGGUCUUCAACGAGGAAUUCCUAGUAAACGCAAGUCAUCAGCUUGCAUUGAUUACGUCCCUGCCCUUUGUACACACCGCCCGUCGCACCUACCGAUUGAAUGGUCCGGUGAAAUCUCGGGACGGCGGCUUGGUCGCUUGCGUCCGACUGCUGAAACUUGAUUAAACCAUAUCAUUUAGAGGAAGGUGAANUCGAAACA